CCUACGGGUGGCUGCAGUAGGGAAUAUUGCGCAAUGGGGGAAACCCUGACGCAGCAACGCCGCGUGAGUGAGGAAGGUCUUCGGAUUGUAAAACUCUGUUCUUAGGGAAAAAUGGUCACGUACCUAAUAGCGCGUGAUUUGAUGGUACCUAAGUAGAAAGCACCGGCUAACUUCGUGCCAGCAGCCGCGGUAAUACGAAGGGUGCAAGCGUUGUUCGGAAUCAUUGGGCGUAAAGCGCGCGCAGGCGGAUCAGCAAGUCAGAUGUGAAAUCUCGG
rnacentral:rRNA from 1 species